GAGUUUGAUCAUGGCUCAGAACGUACGCUGGCGGCACGCCUAACACAUGCAAGUCGAACGAAGUAGCAAUACUUAGUGGCAGACGGGUGAGUAACAUGUAGGUAUCUGCCCUUUGGCCUGGAAUAACACGAGGAAACUUGUGCUAAUACCGGAUAAGUCUUUACGGAGAAAGCUUUAUGCACCAUUGGAUGANCCUNCACUUGAUUAGUUUGUUGGUGGGGUAAUGNCCUACCAAGACUGUGAUCAAUAGCUGAUUUGAGAGGAUGAUCAGCCACAUUGGGACUGAG
rnacentral:rRNA from 1 species